UACAGAGGGGGCAAGCGUUGUUCGGAAUUACUGGGCGUAAAGGGCGCGUAGGCGGCCUGCUAAGUCGAACGUGAAAUCCCUGGGCUCAACCCAGGAACUGCGUCCGAUACUGGUUGGCUUGAAUCCGGGAGAGGGAUGUGGAAUUCCAGGUGUAGCGGUGAAAUGCGUAGAUAUCAGGAGGAACACCGGUGGCGAAGGCGGCUUCCUGGACCGGUAUUGACGCUGAGGCGCGAAAGCUAGGGUAGCAAACGGG
rnacentral:rRNA from 1 species